rnacentral:lncRNA from 1 species
AAAAUGAGGAACUCACUAGCAAAUGGGUACUCUAACAGUUCACAGUAUGAAUGUUGCGUGACAAUUCUAUGCUCCCCGUGGAGAACAAGAAAAGCAGAGGUGAGAAAUUUAAGUCAACUACUGCGCAAAACCCACCCCACGACUCUGUGCUGUUUACCUGAAUAACACUGAUGAUGGAGAUACGCUGCUCCCCCUUCCCAAAAGGCAGGACCUAUGUUUUGGAAGAGGACAUAAGUGGAUUCAAACCCCAGCCCUGUGAGUUGCCAGCUGCAAGUACUUAACUUUUCUCACUUCGAA